rnacentral:rRNA from 1 species
UAGGGAAUCUUCGGCAAUGGGGGCAACCCUGACCGAGCAACGCCGCGUGAGUGAAGAAGGUUUUCGGAUCGUAAAGCUCUGUUGUUGGUGAAGAAGGAUAGAGGCAGUAACUGGUCUUUAUUUGACGGUAAUCAACCAGAAAGUCACGGCUAACUACGUGCCUG